rnacentral:rRNA from 1 species
UAAUAUAGUUUUUUUUUUCUCUCUCAGAUUGAACGCUGGCGGCAGGCUUAACACAUGCAAGUCGAGCGGAGAGAGGUAGCUUGCUACUGAUCUUAGCGGCGGACGGGUGAGUAAUGCUUAGGAAUCUGCCUAUUAGUGGGGGACAACAUUUCGAAAGGAAUGCUAAUACCGCAUACGUCCUACGGGAGAAAGCAGGGGAUCUUCGGACCUUGCGCUAAUAGAUGAGCCUAAGUCGGAUUAGCUAGUUGGUGGGGUAAAGGCCUACCAAGGCGACGAUCUGUAGCGGGUCUGAGAGGAUGAUCCGCCACACUGGGACUGAGACACGGCCCAGACUCCUACGGGAGGCAGCAGUGGGGAAUAUUGGACAAUGGGCGCAAGCCUGAUCCAGCCAUGCCGCGUGUGUGAAGAAGGCCUUAUGGUUGUAAAGCACUUUAAGCGAGGAGGAGGCUACUUUAGUUAAUACCUAGAGAUAGUGGACGUUACUCGCAGAAUAAGCACCGGCUAACUCUGUGCCAGCAGCCGCGGUAAUACAGAGGGUGCAAGCGUUAAUCGGAUUUACUGGGCGUAAAGCGCGCGUAGGCGGCUAAUUAAGUCAAAUGUGAAAUCCCCGAGCUUAACUUGGGAUUGCAUUCGAUACUGGUUAGCUAGAGUGUGGAGAGAGUAUC